UACGGAGGGGGCUAGCGUUGUUCGGAAUUAUUGGGCGUAAAGCGCGUGUAGGCGGCUAUGUGUGUCCGAUGUGAAAGCCCUCGGCUCAACCGGGGAACUGCAUGGGAAACUGCGGAGCUUGAGUCCGGGAGAGGUGAGUGGAAUUCCCAGUGUAGCGGUGAAAUGCGUAGAUAUUGGGAGGAACACCAGUGGCGAAGGCGGCUCACUGGACCGGUACUGACGCUGAGACGCGAAAGCCAGGGGAGCAAACGGG
rnacentral:rRNA from 1 species